CCUAUUAUUAGUAACUCUGCUAGACUCGUCCUGACGAUCUUCCAUUUCAGAUGCUCCGAUCUUGAUGUGGCGGUGUUUAACGAGGAGCCAGCGCAGGAGUUUGUCUUCCUUGUUGAGGUAGUGAAGCUCCUUGUUCAUGUUUGGUGUCGCCAUGAAGCAGGUUUUAUUCCCUUGAAAACCAACAAGAACCAAGAUUAGGUUAAGAUCUUGUUCAAUGAACUUAAUGGCUUUUGUAGUUAAAACUCACCGAUGAGACCUUCUUGUAUAUCUGAGCAGAGUUUUUGCAUUCACAGUAUGGGUACUCAAACGUCACCAUCUCCAACAUACACAUCCCAAAUGAAUAGAUAUCAGCUAGCUCGGUGUAGUCCUCAUCGUAAAGCUCAGGUGCCAUGAACUCUGGGGUUCCUGCUUGGUAACAUAGUAAACACUUGAAUGUUUUUGUUAAAAGCAGAAAGUGAGCAAUGUGAAGAAAACUAUACCAAUGACACUUUUGGCGUUAGCUUGCUCCAUGACAGUGGCUAGACCAAGAUCACCUAUCUUCACUUCUCCAUGGUUUCCAUUGAUAAAGAUGUUAUCACAUUUGAGAUCCCGGUGGAUAAUGGGUGGCACUUGAGUGUGAAGAUAUCUCAAACCCAUUAGAAUCUGUCUCGCCCAACACUUGACCGCCUUCAUGUUCACCUUUCUAUGUUUCUUGCGGUAACUAAGACCAAAAAAGAUUGUAAUUAAACUCCACAAUGACAGAAAAAUAAAUAAAGAGAAGACAAGUUUUGGGUGAGAGAUGCAUACUUUCUGAGACUCCCUGAAGUGAAAAGCUCAGUUAUGAUGUUAACUGUCUUGUUCUUAUCAUCGAUCCAUGAGUUAUAGAACCUGAUGAUAUUACUGUGCUUCAAUGAUUUCAAAAGACGCACUUCAGAGUAUAGCCUCUCCAGGGAGUUUGGUGACUGCAAAACAUCAUCUAUUCGUACUUGGUUCCACGCUACUUCAAUCCCAUCUACUUCAUCGAAGGCCUUGUAACUGAUAUCUUUAGAGUUAAGGUUACAAACCGAGAAAAGAUGCCAAGAACACAGACAACAAAACAACAAGAGAGCUUCUGAUUACAAAGAACACUCUCAGACUAUGAAUGUAAGUAACGAUAUGAACCAAGAAAAAGGAUACACAGUCUUGAAUGCGCCUUUUCCGAUAACCUCUUUAUACUGAAAGGUGGAUAACAACAUAAAAGAUAAAUUACCACACACUAUAACUCAAAUUAAACAUUUGAAAAAGCAAAUCAAGCCAAAGAGACGUUGGAUCUUGAUCCCCCUCUACGCUCCAUUUGAAAGUUUAAAGAAUAGCAUUCUAGGGAUGUUCCUCAUACCCGUAUAUAUCGAUUUGUUGGAUCAACUUCGAGCACCUCCGGGUCAGGAGGCUCUUGAAGAACCGCACCAUCCUCUGAACCAUCCAUAUUUUCCUAAACCUUAUAAAAGUUUUCACCUGCAAGGCUCACAGCAGAAACAAUCCCAAAACACAAACCGAAUCUUUAAAAGAUCCUUAGAUUCUUUUCAAGUGCAACACUUUUCAAUGAAAGAAUAUUCAAAGACAACAAGAUAACAUCCAUACGCUAGUAUACAACAUUGCUUAAAUCCAACUUCUCAUCCUUUUAAUUGAAAUAAGCUCAGAUCAACAACAAAACGGAAGAAAAAUAAUAAAGUUUAGACGUCAAAAGUUUAGGAUCCUGUAGUCCAAACAAUUACCAUGAAUCAUUCUAAGAAUGUAAAAAGAAAACCCCACAUGAGCAAAUCGAGAGAGAUAUGUCCCAUUCACGUUCAUGCAUACAAAUCAUACCAGGAAAAAUCAUAUAUCGCAAGAGUUAUAUGAUUUUGAGCCUCGAAGUUACCUAAGAGGGAUGAAGCUUUUGUUCUGGUCUCCAAAAAAAUCGCCAACGUGAGAUAGAAUACGGACGAGAGAGACUACAAUGAGAGGAAACCCUAAUUGAGAAAGCCGAUGGACGACGAAGAUGCAACAAGUGUUUUGUUCAUGUUUAUCACCAACGAUCACCUCUAUUUUUAAAAAUAAAAAAUAAAAAUAACGAAAAAAAUCAAGUUCUAAAAACAGAGACACGCUCUGCCCAUGCAAAGAUGACGUGUCAAUACAUGUGGGGUUUAUCAGCCAAUAACCAUAAGACAAAGAUGAAGGACACUCUCUGUGGUCUGAGAGUAAACGACUUCUUGCUUCUCCUCAUCGCCUUAAGCCUAAGAUAUCGUCUUCUUCUUCGUCCGUCGAGGAUUCAUCAUACAAGCUCCUAUUAUUAGUAACUCUGCUAGACUCGUCCUGACGAUCUUCCAUUUCAGAUGCUCCGAUCUUGAUGUGGCGGUGUUUAACGAGGAGCCAGCGCAGGAGUUUGUCUUCCUUGUUGAGGUAGUGAAGCUCCUUGUUCAUGUUUGGUGUCGCCAUCAUUGUUAUCUGCAUCAGUUGUCCCUGCGCCAUUCACCCAAUAUAUCAAUUAUACAUAAAAUGGUACUAACUAAGCAAACCCGUGAAGAAGAAGCUAAUAAAGAUAAGUGUUCAGGCUUCAAUAAUUCAACUCAAAGGCUCAACAAAGCUAGUUUCUCUAACUAAUCAGAAAGAUGCUUAGCCAACCUAAAACCCUAAAAUCUACAACUGAAUCGGAAUGCGAAACCCUAAUCUACUACGGAUUCAAUUAAUCACCGAUUCAACAAGGGCAAAAAAAAUUGAAUCAAUUUGC
rnacentral:lncRNA from 1 species